rnacentral:lncRNA from 1 species
GUGCGUCCGCGCGUGUGCGCGGGGCCCCCCGUCAGGCGGGCCCGCGGUGCGCUGCGCGCCUCACGGCCGCACGGCGCGUCCCAGAAACGCCGCUCGCCGCGCCCGGCAGCUUUUCCCCGGCCGCUGUUCCCAGAGCUGGAGCCGGCUGCGCCCCGGCGUCAGAAAAACCCGCGGGCGGGGAGCGAGGGAAACGGGGACGCCGGGGCGGGAAGCUCGCACUUGAUCUCCUUCCUCUUGUUUUUUCUUCCAAAGCACAACCUCCCCCUCGCCGCAGCCCCGGGAGCUGUCGGCUCGGCCCCGCGAUGCAGAUUAAUUGAUACAGGGCUCCCGGGAUAAACGCUCUCGAACUGCCGCCCGCCUCUGAGUAGAAACAAUAGCAAUUUUCUCAGCGCGGCUGCAAUUAACGCCGUGUUUGUUCCCCGGCAGAGAUAAGGCUGUGUCCGAUCGCAGCCGUAUCCAUUCCCUCGGCUGCCGCCGGCCGCCCUCUUGGCCCGGGGAAGGAGGGAGAGCCGGCGGGGUGCCCGGAGCGGUCCCAGUGCGGGAGCGACGCUGCCCCGGCUGCGAGCGGAGUUUGCGAGGCGACAGCGGCUGAAGCGGCACCGUCAGCGGCGGGUGGGGUCAGACGGGGGAGGUUCGUGGAAAAAGCUUUGCCACAAGAAAGACAUCUCCCCCUUUUCCUUUUGUUUUUGUUUUAAUUUUUGCUACAUCUGGAUGUGGUUUGGCCUCAUUCAGGGACACACAGUCCACAAUGUCUAUUCAGCUUGAAACACAGAAAGAAUAUUCUAAACUAGGAUCAGAAUCCAAUUCUUCAAGGAGGUGCCGUGAAGCUCAACUGCUUGAGGAAAACAGAUGUGAAUGUGUCGCUCAAAUUUUAAGAAAUGCAGCUUUUUGGAUGUGUUUAACUAUGUGUUUCAGAAGUUAG